UGCUUGUAUUAAAGCUCAUGGGUAGAACUCCUUGACUCUGGCCCUAUCCAGGCUACUACUGUGACUCUUUUUCCCUUCCUGGUCAGUGUGACAGGUGUUAACAGGAAGACGUGCAAAGUGGGGACUGCUAGUAAGUUCAGUCUUCUCUGUUGCUUGGAGUUCCUUUUCUGUCCUGGUCUUGGUGGGGAAAGCUUCAAGGGAACCUCAAAGGGGAACAGGAAGCUGAAGAGCAGAAAACAAACAAACGCUUGGCGCUUGGCGCACCAGGCAGGACUCUGGUGAGGAAGGUUGGGGGAGAAUCAUCUUAGAGUUUCUUGAGCUCCGUGGCUGUUGUGUCACACCGCCUUGUCCCUGGCACCCUGAUGAUGAACUGAAGCCUUUCCACAGAAUGUUCUGGACAACCCCACCCCCACAGUCACCAGGUCCUGUGCUGCAAACCCUUUGCCAUCUAUCUUUUAUCACCCCUCCAGAAAAUUAUUUAUUAACUGCUUGGCUGUACUUUCUGAA